UGGGGAAUCUUCCGCAAUGGGCGAAAGUCUGACGGAGCGAUACAGCGUGGUGGACGAAGUGCUUCGGCACGUAAACACCUUUUAUGUGGGACGAAAUUAUUGACGGUACCACAUGAAUAAGGGGCUCCUAACUCUGUGCCAGCAGGAGCGGUAAUACAGAGGCCCCAAGCAUUAUCCGGAAUCAUUGGGCGUAAAGGGUGUCAAGGCGGUUAUGUUAGUCGUUCGUUAAAUCCGGUGGCUCAACCUCCGGCCUGCGAGCGAAACGGCAUAACUUGAGGGUGGGAGAGGUGUGUGGAACUCACGGUGUAGGGGUGAAAUCCGUUGAUAUCGUGGGGAACACCAAAGGCGAAGGCAGCACACUGGCCCAUUCCUGACGCUCACACACGAAAGCCAGGGUAGCGAAAGGGAUUAGAUACCCCUGUAGU
rnacentral:rRNA from 2 species